UUAUGAAUCACAUGGAGAUUUUGCUAGAAAGCAGACUCUGAUUCGAUAAGUGCACACUGUACUCUGAGAUUCUGUAUUUCUAGCAAGCUCUCAGGUGAUGCUAUU
rnacentral:pre_miRNA from 1 species